AUUGAACGCUGGCGGCAGGCCUAACACAUGCAAGUCGAACGAGUGGCGGACGGGUGAGUAAUGUAUGGGACACUGCCUGAUGGAGGGGGAUAACUACUGGAAAAGGUAGCUAAUACCGCAUACCCUCAGAUGUGCCCAUAUGGGUGUAGCUUGUUGGCGGGGUAACGGCUCACCAAGGCGACGAUCCCUAGCGGGGCUGAGAGGGUGACCAGCCACACUGGGACGGAGACACGGUCCAGACUCCUACGGGAGGAAGCAGUGGGGAAUAGUGCACAAUGGGCGCAAGCCUGAUGCAGCCAUGCCGCGUGUAUGAAGAAGGCCUUCGGGUUGUAAAGUACUUUCAGCGGGGAGGCGUUACCCGCAGAAGAAGCACCGGCUAACUCCGUGCCAGCAGCCGCGGUAAUAC
rnacentral:rRNA from 1 species